rnacentral:tRNA from 1 species
CCGGGGCGUGGUGGGGAAGCGGCGUGGGGGCCCUGAAGGGGCCCGAUGGGAAGGUGCUCCUUUUGGGCGCCCUGGACCUUGGGGCCAGGGUCCUGGGCC